AUGCGGCAGCGCUGGGCCGCGGGGCUGGCGGGGCUGGCCGCAGUGCUCCUGGUGGCUGUGAGCAGAGCCCAGGUGCAGCAGGAGCCGGCGGCAGAGACCACCGAGGGGGCAGCAGUCAACAUCACCUGCUCACACCCCAGCAUACAGAUCGGCUAUUCCAUCUACUGGUACCGUCAGCUCCCGGGCCGAGGCCCCGCAUUCCUCGUUAGCACAGCUAAAGACUCCAAGGAGGUGCCGGACCCGGAGGGGCAGCUGUGG